rnacentral:rRNA from 1 species
UGACCUGNUCGGCUUACUUAACACAUGCAAGUCGCACGGGCAGGGCAACCUGUCAGUGGCGGACGGGUGAGUAACGCGUAGGAAUCUAUCCUUGGGUGGGGGACAACCGUGGGAAACUACGGCUAAUACCGCAUGAUCCCUGAGGGGCAAAGGCGAAAGUCGCCUGAGGAGGAGCCUGCGUCUGAUUAGGUAGUUGGUGGGGUAAAGGCCUACCAAGCCUGCGAUCAGUAGCUGGUCUGAGAGGAUGAUCAGCCACACUGGGACUGAGACACGGCCCAGACUCCUACGGGAGGCAGCAGUGGGGAAUAUUGGACAAUGGGCGAAAGCCUGAUCCAGCAAUGCCGCGUGGAUGAAGAAGGUCUUCGGAUUGUAAAGUCCUUUUGGCGGGGACGAUGAUGACGGUACCCGCAGAAUAAGCUCCGGCUAACUUCGUGCCAGCAGCCGCGGUAAUACGAAGGGGGCUAGCGUUGCUCGGAAUGACUGGGCGUAAAGGGCGCGUAGGCGGACGGCACAGUCAGGCGUGAAAUUCCUGGGCUCAACCUGGGGACUGCGUCUGAAACGUGUUGUCUUGAGUAUGGAAGAAGGUUGUGGAAUUUNCAGUGUAGAGGUGAAAUUCCUANAUAUUGGAAANAACACCGGUGGCGAANGCG